rnacentral:rRNA from 1 species
CCUACGGGAGGCAGCAGUGAGGAAUAUUGGUCAAUGGGCGCGAGCCUGAACCAGCCAAGUAGCGUGAAGGAUGACUGCCCUACGGUUUGUAAACUUCUUUUAUAAAGGAAUAAAGUGAGGCUCGUGUGCCUUUUUGUAUGUACUUUAUGAAUUAGGAUCGGCUAACUCCGUUCCAUCAGCCGCGGUAAUACGGAGGAUCCGAGCGUUAUCCGGAUUUAUUGGGUUUAAAGGGAGCGUAGAUGGGUUGAUAAGUCAGUUGUGAAAGUUUGCGGCUCAACCGUAAAAUUGCAAUUGAUACUGGCAGUCUUGAGUACAGUUGAGGUAGGCGGAAUUCGUGGUGUAGCGGUGAAAUGCUUAGAUAUCACGAAGAACUCCGAUGGCGAAGGCAGCUUACUAAACUGCCACUGACAUUGAGGCUCGAAAGUGUGGGUAUCAAACAGGAUUAGAUACCCUUGUAGUC